GUAGGGUGCGAGCGUUAAUCGGAAUUACUGGGCGUAAAGCGUGCGUAGGUGGUUUUUUAAGUCCGUUGUGAAAGCCCUGGGCUCAACCUGGGAAUGGCAGUGGAUACUGGAAGGCUAGAGUGCGGUAGAGGGUAGUGGAAUUCCCGGUGUAGCAGUGAAAUGCGUAGAGAUCGGGAGGAACACCAGUGGCGAAGGCGGCUACCUGGACCAGCACUGACACUGAGGCACGAAAGCGUGGGGAGCAAACAGGAUUAGAUACCCUGGUAGUCCACGCCCUAAACGAUGCGAACUGGAGGUUGGGUGCAACUUGGCACUCAGUCUCGAAGCUAACGCGUUAAGUUCGCCGCCUGGGGAGUACGGUCGCAAGACUG
rnacentral:rRNA from 1 species